rnacentral:piRNA from 1 species
UUGAUGGACCUGGCGGGAUAAUUGGCAU